rnacentral:sRNA from 1 species
UACAAAAUAAGUAGCAACUUGUACAGAUA